UACAAAAAACAACUUUCGGUUUUAGUUUCAGCUUUAUUAACCUUACGAAUUUCUUUACUUUCUCUCUCAAUAUUUUUUCUUCUAGAUCUAAUUUUUCACUGAAAACUUAGAAAUUAAGAGAGAAGGCACCAGAUCGGUGGAUAGGUUUAUGUAUUUAUCAGAUUUGGAGAAGGAGAUUCAGAAUUUGUAUAUGUGAGAAUCAAUCUUCUCUAGAAAUCUUACCAACUAUGAUUUAUUUUCAAAAUCCUCUUUCGGUUCACAGUUAAUAAUGUUUCAAUCAGUUAUUUGAUGAUGACUCUUGUCAUUCUGAACAUGUCAAUCAAUAUGAUUCAAGUUUAUUUGCAUGUCUUGGGAGAAACGAUGAGUUUUGUGGGAGAGAUCUUGAAGUUCACCCCUCAAAAACAACUCCACAACUCCAUUCCUGGCAUGUCAAACGAUGGAACUACUCUUGCUCCUGGCUCAUCAUUGGGUAAUAAGAGUGUUGUCGGUUACUUGGGGGUAGUGCACGGAUUAAUCAACAGGAGUCUGCAGUUAGGGGAGAAAGUUUGGUCAGUCUAAUUAUGGUGGAGGAGCGUUUUAUACAACGACAUCAAGGUCAGAGUACAAUCAAAUCCUUGUGAAGAUUCCUGCGGUAGUAACUUCUGGGGGAAUUAGGUUGCAUUUAGGACGAAAUCAUUUCACCCGAAUAUGAACAACAGUGGAAGUAUUUACCUAGACAUCCUUGAAGAGCAAGAGAGUUCUGCUCUUACCUUCUCUAAGGUGUAUAUGCUUGUAUACCUUGCUCUUGCUCUUAGAGCUUCAAUGGAGGAAGAGAGAGCAAGAAAGGACGCUGCUGCAAGGGCAAUAGAAGAAAAAAGAGAUGGACAUGCUUCAAGUUCACAUGAUACAACUAUGACUGAAAACGCUGGCAUUAUGUCUAAUGGAGCUAAUACAUGCGAUUUGAUGGUAGGUCUCAUACUUUUUACUGGUUGUCCUGGGGUUGAAUAUGUGGUUAGAAACAUGAUGCAGUUUAUGAUUGUACAUGAAUUAGAAGAUGUGGUUUUCUGUAGUGAAGGAAAGAUGUGUUUGGUUUGAUUAGAGUUUAUGCUUGCUCGAGUCUGAAAGAAGAUGGUGUUACUGAGAUUUCAAGGGUGUUAGAACUGUUGAUUUGAUGAAUAUGAGAUGGAGAUAGUACCGUUACUUUGUGUGAUUUAGAUUCUGCAGUGAGUAAGCUGGUAACGAAAUGAAGAAGCGUUGUGUAUUGUUGCUGGCUGAGCAAUUACAGUUGAUAUGGGAAAUUUGGAAGAAUGGGUUUGCUUCUAUGUUGUAGUACAAGGAAUUGUGCAGCUGAGUAACUGAUGGUAUAACUCUGAAGUGGUAAUCUGGUUUAUAUAUAUGAAAUGCCGAUGGAAUUGCAAAGAUGAAAUCUGAAAUGUGUGAUGUUGGUGGUACUGAGGAGCAGGAAUUUAUGUUGUUGUUGGAUUAGUAGUGUUGCUGCAAAGAAGUGCAACUAAGAUUGGAAAGCUACAGAAACGGAUAAAAAAUUUGAGUUGAAUGGUUGAGGUGAUGUAGUUGUUUGUAGCAGCAGGGUUAAGAAUGCUUGAGCGUUGGAGCUGGUGUUGGGUAAACAUGUUGUAUUUUUCGUAGAUGUAUACAUAUUUUUACACCAAUGUAAUCUAAGUUUUUUAAAAAAUGAGAAUUGUAUAGUCA